rnacentral:tmRNA from 1 species
GGGGCUGACUGGCUUUGACAGCGGGCAGAAGCGGUGUGUAAGCAUGCAGAGCUUUGUUGUCCCGGCUCUAUAAUCUCAGGCAUCAAAAAUUUAAUUGGCGAAAACAACUACGCUCUCGCUGCUUAAUCGAAGCACAGUAGAUUAGGUUUAUUCCGCCACAAGGUGACGGAACGAGACAUCAUCCGGAAGCUGUUGUCCCGAAGCGUUCCGACCCGAUGGUGCAAGAAAAUCGGGAAUAGCCCAAGUGUUGCCUCGGCGCUUAGGCGAAGUUCAAGAGGCUAAGGUUGCGGUUGGCAGCUUCGCGCUUGCCGCCUCCCUACAAUAACGGCGAAGAUAAGCAUGUAGAAAGCACAUUGAUUCCUCGUUUGGACGAGGGUUCGAUUCCCUCCAGCUCCACAA